UACGGGGGGAGCAAGCGUUGUUCGGAUUUACUGGGCGUAAAGGGCGCGUAGGCGGCCACCGCAAGUCGGUUGUGAAGUCUCUGGGCUUAACCCAGAAAGGUCAACCGAUACUGCGGGGCUAGAGUGCAGAAGGGGCAACUGGAAUUCUCGGUGUAGCGGUGAAAUGCGUAGAUAUCUGGAGGAACACCGGUGGCGAAGGCGGCAUCCUGGACCGGCAUUGACGCUGAGGCGCGAAAGCCAGGGGAGCAAACGGG
rnacentral:rRNA from 1 species